rnacentral:misc_RNA from 1 species
GAUGAAGAACGUAGCGAAAUGCGAUAAGUAAUGUGAAUUGCAGAAUUCAGUGAAUCAUCGAAUCUUUGAACGCACAUUGCGCCCAUUAGUAUUCUAGUGGGCAUGCCUGUUCGAGCGUCAUUUCAACCCUUAAGCCUAGCUUAGUGUUGGGAGACUGCCUAAUACGCAGCUCCUCAAAACCAGUGGCGGAGUCUGUUCGUGCUCUGAGCGUAGUAAUUUUUUAUCUCGCUUCUGCAAGCCGGCCAGACGACAGCCAUAAACCGCAGCCUCUCGGGGGGCACUUUUUUAAUGGUUGACCUCGGAUCAGGUAGGAAUACCCGCUGAACUUAAGCAUAUCAAUAAGCGGAGGA